rnacentral:rRNA from 1 species
CCUACGGGAGGCAGCAGUGGGGAAUAUUGCACAAUGGGCGCAAGCCUGAUGCAGCCAUGCCGCGUGUAUGAAGAAGGCCUUCGGGUUGUAAAGUACUUUCAGUCGUGAGGAAGGUGUUAAGGUUAAUAACCUUAGCAAUUGACGUUAGCGACAGAAGAAGCACCGGCUAACUCCGUGCCCCCCUCCUCCUUAUUUCGGUGUGUGCGACCGUUCAUCGGAAUUACUGGGCGUAAAGGGCACGCAGGCGGUUAAUUAAGUUGGAUGUGAAAUCCCCGGGCUUAACCUGGGAAUGGCAUUCAAGACUGGUUAGCUAGAGUCUUGUAGAGGGGGGUAGAAUUCCAUGUGUAGCGGUGAAAUGCGUAAAGAUGUGGAGGAAUACCGGUGGCGAAGGCGGCCCCCUGGACAAAGACUGACGCUCAUGUGCGAAAGCGUGGGGAGCAAACAGGAUUAGAUACCCGUGUAGUG